AGUGAACGCUGGCGGUAGGCCUAACACAUGCAAGUCGAACGGCAGCACAGGAGAGCUUGCUCUCUGGGUGGCGAGUGGCGGACGGGUGAGGAAUACAUCGGAAUCUACUCUGUCGUGGGGGAUAACGUAGGGAAACUUACGCUAAUACCGCAUACGACCUACGGGUGAAAGUGGGGGACCGCAAGGCCUCACGCGAUUGAAUGAGCCGAUGUCGGAUUAGCUAGUUGGCGGGGUAAAGGCCCACCAAGGCGACGAUCCGUAGCUGGUCUGAGAGGAUGAUCAGCCACACUGGAACUGAGACACGGUCCAGACUCCAACGGGAGGCAGCAGUGGGGAAUAUUGGACAAUGGGCGCAAGCCUGAUCCAGCCAUACCGCGUGAGUGAAGAAGGCCCUCGGGUUGUAAAGCUCUUUUGUUGGGAAAGAAAUCCUGUCGGUUAAUACCUGGCAGGGAUGACGGUACCCAAAGAAUAAGCACCGGCUAACUUCGUGCCAGCAGCCGCCGUAACAC
rnacentral:rRNA from 1 species